GUCAGUGGUCAAAGCGAUGCGAUCGGCGAGGCACUCCCAUUGGUCCACCCCGUCACUGACCCGUCACUGUAACACCCUCUGUCAAAUGUAGACACAACGGAGAGAAUUGGAGAAAGAGAAAGGGAUUAGCAUUAAUAAUUGUGAAGGAACUGGGGAUCCCGACUCUCUUCCAAAUUUCUAAUUCAAUUUUUUCCAUCGUGUGUUUUGGGGGAGUUGGUGACAAACCCAUCACACCAUCUAUUCAA